rnacentral:tRNA from 1 species
UUAAUUGAAACCAAAAAAGAGGUUUAUCAUUGUUAAUGAUACUAUUGAAAAUUAAUAUUUCCAAUUAAA